UGGGGAAUAUUGGACAAUGGGCGAAAGCCUGAUCCAGCCAUGCCGCGUGUGUGAAGAAGGUCUUCGGAUUGUAAAGCACUUUAAGUUGGGAGGAAGGGCAGUAAGCGAAUACCUUGCUGUUUUGACGUUACCGACAGAAUAAGCACCGGCUAACUCUGUGCCAGCAGCCGCGGUAAUACAGAGGGUGCAAGCGUUAAUCGGAAUUACUGGGCGUAAAGCGCGCGUAGGUGGUUCGUUAAGUUGAAUGUGAAAGCCCCGGGCUCAACCUGGGAACUGCAACCAAAACUGGCGGGCUAGAGUAGGGGAGAAGGUGGUGGAAUUUCCUGGGUAGCGGUGAAAUGCGUAGAUAUAGGGAGGAACACCAGUGGCGAAGGCGACCACCUGGGCUCAUACUGACACUGAGGUGCGAAAGCGUGGGGAGCAAACAGG
rnacentral:rRNA from 1 species